UACGUAGGGUGCGAGCGUUGUCCGGAAUUAUUGGGCGUAAAGGGCUCGUAGGCGGUUUGUCGCGUCGGGAGUGAAAACCCAGGGCUUAACCCUGGGCUGGCUUCCGAUACGGGCAGACUAGAGGUAUGCAGGGGAGAACGGAAUUCCUGGUGUAGCGGUGAAAUGCGCAGAUAUCAGGAGGAACACCGGUGGCGAAGGCGGUUCUCUGGGCAUUACUUGACGCUGAGGAGCGAAAGUGUGGGGAGCGAACAGG
rnacentral:rRNA from 1 species